ACGGAUACAUAUAAUUAAAGCUACUAGAAAUAAUAAAGGAAGUAACUCUGUAUGCAAAAGUACAUAAGGAAAAGAAAACGCACUUUUGGUGAGGAAAGUCCUUGGUACCAAGGGCGAGGCUGUUUCCUGUUAAGGGAAGAAGCAGCAAUUAGUUCUGUGCUGAAGUAGAAUUACUGGUUCUUCCAGAAGGAGAAAAAGAAAAAUGCAGGAAGGAAAAAGCAUUGGUGGAUAUUAAGAGAUCAUAAAAGGAGACCCAUGGAGAAGUGGGACAGGCAUCUGGAAUACAGGCUUCUGAUAACCCCGAGAUCACACCAUCGGACCGGGCAAGAACCUCCAGAACGCUGAUGGAGAACCUGACAGCUUGGGACUGAUUACUAAAGAUUGAAACUGCCCUUUUCCUGAAGCCCCGCAAGCCGGAGCUGGGCCCCUGGACAGACUUCAGAGAUCACCACGACUCGCGUGUGGACCACCUCCAUGACAUGCAAACCGCAAACCAAUCUGUCUGCUUGCCACUGCCUGCCCUCCCCUCUGAAGAUGCUUCAAGCGCAACAUCUACGAUCUCUACCAGCUGCCCUCUGGACUGAAAUACUGAGUUUAUAGUUUGUUCUAAUCAUUAGCCUUUUUCUUUUGUUUGCACAGAAAUGCCUCUUAUUAAACACCUGAUUCAGCAACCACACACAGGCCUACCUUUGGUGGAAUCCCACCUGCAAUGCUGCCUCCUGAACUAAGACAACUGCUGUCUAACGGGACCAGCCCACCCCCCGGUGCAGGAGGCCAGGCCACAGUGCAGUGGGACAAUCCACCAACACGGCGUCUGGACCACACUGCUUCCUGGGGUGUGAUGCAGGAGACACAGCAGCUUGGAAACUGAGAAAAUAGAAGCAGGAAGCCUCUCUCACCUCCCCCCGACUCUUCUUCCCGGAAGCAGGCCCAGGAAGGGUGCGCUCUGACCUCCUCCCUCCCUGACCUCCUCCCUCCCGACCCCGUGAAGACCCCCAUGUGGCAGGUGUCCUGCUCUAUGCCCAGAGGGAAGGAAGGCCCACAGGGUGACCAAGGAGAAUCUGCACACCCAGGCGCUCAGUCCCCUCAGUUUACUGCCAUCAGAUCACACUGUCCUCCAGCUGUACCUCUGCACCACUUUCCACGAAACACAGAGGUUCCCCUGUUUCUUCGGACCUUCAUUCCAAAGGCUCCCAUGUCACAUAAAACUUGUA